UACGGAGGGUGCAAGCGUUAUCCGGAUUUACUGGGUUUAAAGGGUGCGCAGGCGGAUAUGUAAGUCAGUGGUGAAAUCUCCGGGCUUAACCCGGAAACUGCCGUUGAUACUAUAUAUCUUGAAUGCUGUGGAGGUAAGCAGAAUAUGUCAUGUAGCGGUGAAAUGCUUAGAUAUGACAUAGAACACCAAUUGCGAAGGCAGCUUGCUACACGGUUAUUGACACUGAGGCACGAAAGCGUGGGGAUCAAACAGG
rnacentral:rRNA from 1 species